ensembl:snRNA U6 U6 spliceosomal RNA
GUGCUCACUCCGGCAGCACAUAUAUUAAAAUUGGAACAAUACAGAGAAGAUCAGCAUGGCCGCUGAGCAAGGAUGACUUCACAUCAAUUAAAUAAAUAAAUAAAUAAAU